UACGAAGGGGGCUAGCGUUGUUCGGAAUUACUGGGCGUAAAGCGCACGUAGGCGGAUUGUUAAGUUAGGGGUGAAAUCCCAGGGCUCAACCCUGGAACUGCCUUUAAUACCGGCAAUCUCGAGUCCGAGAGAGGUGAGUGGAAUUCCGAGUGUAGAGGUGAAAUUCGUAGAUAUUCGGAGGAACACCAGUGGAAGGCGGCUCACUGGCUCGGUACUGACGCUGAGGUGCGAAAGCCAGGGGAGCAAACGGG
rnacentral:rRNA from 1 species